CUUCACUUCAUUCAAGGGCAGCCCCUGAAUCACGUAAAUGUAGCUUCUUCUUAUAGUCCUGAAUUCCAUCACCGUUUGUCUACAUUUUGCCAGUGGACCAUUUCAGAGGAUACCAACUGAGGAAUUCAAGAAUGAAGACCUCUGCUUAUAAAGUACUGGUGGGACUUCUACUCCUUGAGGCAGUUCUUGCUGCUCCUGCAAGGAAUGAGGAGAGAAUAGAAAAGCUGAAACGAAUACAGAUAUUACCUGAUGAUCACUUUGAAGAUCUUGACUAUGUGAAUCAGGAAGCAAGUAUCAUAUAUGACUAUGAAGAAAGGCAGACCAUUAGCGAACCAGAGACCCAGUGGCUCUCUUUACAUCCUG